GACUAUUGUAUUGACUUUUUUUGUGGUCGGCGGAUGGUCGGGAAAAUUACGAAGUUACGAAAUUACGUAGAGUGCUAUUUAUUAAACAAAAAAUUCCUAUAAGUUUCUGGGUUGAAUUUGUCUACCUAUUAGGUACAUACUUAUUUGAAAAUGGCGAAACCUAAAACCGAAGAUUCUUCGGAAGACGCCAAGAAGAUUGUAGAUGAUGCCAAAAAUUUUAUUGAAAAAGCUAUUUCUGAUAUAGGAAAAACUUCAGCUACUAAGCAACUAAUAUUGGGUACUGCCUCGGGAUGGAUAACAGGCUUUUUGACAAUGAAAAUUGGAAAAGUGGCUGCUGUUGGCAUUGGCGGUGGAGUGAUACUUCUGCACAUAGCUAGCCAAAAAGGUUACAUUGAUAUCAACUGGGAUAAGAUUAAUAAGAAAGUUGACAAAAUUACUGACAAAAUUGAGAAGGAAACUACAGGAAAAUCUCCUGCUUGGAUUGAAAAAGUAUUAUCCUUUGCCAAAGAUAAUUCCUAUUAUUCUGCAGGUUUUGCUGGAGGAUUCUUUUUUGGCAUUGCUUCUUCAUGAAUAUCAUAUUUUGUUUCGAUAAAAAAAACCUAUUAUUCACCAUAAAUACAGCUGUAUUUCCGUUUUUCUUUAUAUAAAAAUACCUAGAUUUGACUGGGCUAAAUAUUGUAUUGGCAUAAAAAUUAAAACCUCUUAUGCAAAAUCUCGCUUUUUUAUAUCAUAUUUAACCAUGAUUGAAAUCUUGAUAUUUUCAGUCCAAUCAGUUACUUUUUCUAUGUCCAGGUUGAAAGAUUUGUGGAUCGUAAAUUGGAUAAAGCUGAGGAUUUGUUAAAGAAAAAAGAAGUCAAAGCGAAACGUUGGUAUAAC
rnacentral:misc_RNA from 1 species